GAUGAAGAACGCAGUGAAAUGCGAUACGUAGUGUGAAUUGCAGAAUUCAGUGAAUCAUCGAAUCUUUGAACGCACAUUGCACCUCUCGGUAUUCCGGGAGGUAUGCCUGUUCGAGCGUCAUUUCAACCCUCAAGCUCUGCUUGGUAUUGGGCGUCGCCGGGGAGUCUCCCCGGCGUGCCUCAAAGCCAUCGGCGGUGGUGCCUUUCUCUAAGCGUGGUAGAAUUUUUAUUCGCUUCUGAGUUGGGCUUCGCCUGCCGGACAAACCGGGCCCUCGCGGCCCACCUUCUCAGGUUGACCUCGGAUCAGGUAGGGAUACCCGCUGAACUUAAGCAUAUCAAUAAGCGGAGGA
rnacentral:misc_RNA from 1 species